GACAGAGGCCUCGAGCGUUAGGCGGAAUCACUGGGCUUAAAGCGUGUGUAGGCGGGCCCGUAAGUGUCUUGUGAAAUCCCACGGCUCAACCGUGGAACUGCUGGGCAUACUGCGGGUCUUGGGCCAACUAGGGGCAACCGGAACAAACGGUGGAGCGGUGAAAUGCGUAGAUAUCGUUUGGAACGCCAAUGGUGAAAACAGGUUGCUGGGAGUGUGCUGACGCUGAGACACGAAAGCCAGGGGAGCGAACGGG
rnacentral:rRNA from 1 species